GUGGCCCCUAUUGGAUAUUUCGACUUUUCGACUUUUAGAGUUUGCGACUUUUAGAGUUUUCGACUUUUCGAGUUUGCGACUUUUCGACUUUUUUCUGCGGACAGCUUUUUGCUGCGGAACUUCUGCACAUUUGGCACGCGGAAAGCAAGCAAUGGAAAGUCUUAUUACUAGUUAUUAUUUCAAAGCAGGAUACACAGCAACUGAGAUUGCUAAAACUUUGUCACUUGCCCAUGGCACAUAUGUAAGUGAAUCCUACUUGAGGAAACGUCUUGUCAAAUUGAACUUAAGAAGAAAAUCAGUUGAAAAGGAUUUACCUGAAGUGAUUCAUGCAAUGAGAUAAAUGAAAAGAGACAGGAAGUGAGAGGUCUUCAACAACUUUUAUAAAACUCUUAAUUAAGUCUUAACCAUAACAACACCUUAACAGCUGACUGCCCACAUACCUUGUAUAAACUAUGGAUUCUGCUAUGGUCUGACAGCCAAGAUAACAGCAUUGCAAGGGCCACAUACUUCUUAUUAAAAGGACAUAUAAGGAAUGCGUAUACUGUUUGCUGUUAAGAAGAGACAAGAGAUGGACAUUUGAUGUAUUUUUUUGUGUCUGUUGUUUAAUUUCAAAUGGUUGAAUGUCUCAUGUGCCUAGAUGUUACUGUACAAUUAUAUAUUUAGCUUGGGGUAUUUUAUA